AAAAAAGAUUUACCUAAUCAAACUUUUGAUGAGGAAAUAUAUUGACUAAAUAAUUAGAGUAAAAAAGCAAUACCCUUUUUUACUUAUACUUACUUAACUUCUAAUUAUUUUAUUUAUAUUAUUUCACUCAAAUAAUUUUAAAAUUUACUAAAUCUAAUAAUAAUUCGGUCAAUGAUUUAAUUUUUUAAUAUUUAGUAAAUACAAUUGUGACAAUUGAUGACUAUUAGUUGACAGAGCUAUUAAAGUUAAUAUAAUUCACUACAACAAAAACGGUCUAUAGCGACAUUUUUAAAUGUAGGUACAUGUCAAAAAAGUGCUGCUAGCUAAAAUUACCGACACUUUUAAAAAGUGUUGCUAUAUAUGGGGUCGCUAGGUAUAUAGUGACAGUUAAAGAGUGUCGCUAUAACCUAAAAGAGUGCUGCUAAUUUACCAACACUUAUUUAACCAUUUAACAACCGCCGAAACUCUAUUUCGUUGGCUGCGGUGGCGGAGGAGGACGACAGGAAAUGCUCUUCGUCUAGAAUUUCAGUAGAUUGAGUGAAGAGAGAAGAAAAGAUGGUAAUUGAUUUUUUUUUUUUUCUUUUCUGUUUGUAAUCGGGCCAAAUGGACUGGAUGUGGUGGGUUGAGUAGAGUAAUAUUUUAUUUUUGGUUGGAUUGGACUUUAUAUUUAGGCAUUAGUAAAUGUUUUUUUAAGUUUUAGUAUAAAUGAGACACUUACUCAAAAGUGUCCCAAACAUGUGUCCCUAUAACCUAAUUCUGUUGUAGUGUCUUUAAUUAAAUUAAAUAAACAGAUUAUCUAAAAUAAUUAAAAGUUAUGAAGGUACUAAAUAAAAAAAUAAAAAUAAAUUUAGAGUUGAGAGAGCACUAUUA
rnacentral:lncRNA from 1 species